ACGGUCACAUAAUAUUGAAACACCAGUUCUUGUACAAUCGCAGAAGUUAAGCACCGUCGAGCCUGGUCAGUACCUAGUUGGGUGACCGCUUGGGAAUACCAGGUGCUGUAAG